rnacentral:rRNA from 1 species
GCGGCAAAAGCUCAAAUUUGAAAUCUGGUACCUUCGGUGCCCGAGUUGUAAUUUGGAGAGGGCAACUUUGGGGCCGUUCCUUGUCUAUGUUCCUUGGAACAGGACGUCAUAGAGGGUGAGAAUCCCGUGUGGCGAGGAGUGCGGUUCUUUGUAAAGUGCCUUCGAAGAGUCGAGUUGUUUGGGAAUGCAGCUCUAAGUGGGUGGUAAAUUCCAUCUAAAGCUAAAUAUUGGCGAGAGACCGAUAGCGAACAAGUACAGUGAUGGAAAGAUGAAAAGAACUUUGAAAAGAGAGUGAAAAAGUACGUGAAAUUGUUGAAAGGGAAGGGCAUUUGAUCAGACAUGGUGUUUUGUGCCCUCUGCUCCUUGUGGGUAGGGGAAUCUCGCAUUUCACUGGGCCAGCAUCAGUUUUGGUGGCAGGAUAAAUCCAUAGGAAUGUAGCUUGCCUCGGUAAGUAUUAUAGCCUGUGGGAAUACUGCCAGCUGGGACUGAGGACUGCGAC